rnacentral:rRNA from 1 species
AUUGAACGCUGGCGGCAGGCCUAACACAUGCAAGUCGAGCGGAGCGGCGGACGGGCGAGUAAUGCCUAGGAAUCUGCCUGGUAGUGGGGGCUAACGUCCGGAAACGGGCGCUAAUACCGCAUACUAUCAGAUGAGCCUAGGUCGGAUUAGCUAUUUGGUGGGGUACAGGCCUACCAAGGCGACGAUCCGUAACUGGUCUGAGCGGAUGAUCAGUCACACUGGAACUGAGACACGGUCCAGACUCCUGCAGGAGGCAACAGUGGGGAAUGUUGGACAGUGGGCGAAAGCCUGAUCCAGCCAAGCCGCGUGUGUGAAGAAGGUCUUCGGAAUGUAAAGCACUUUAAGUUGGGAGACGUUACCAACAGAAUAAGCACCGGCUAACUUCGUGCCAGCAGCCGCGGUAAUUC